CCUACGGGUGGCAGCAGUGGGGAAUAUUGGGCAAUGGGCGCAAGCCUGACCCAGCAACGCCGCGUGAAGGAAGAAGGCUUUCGGGUUGUAAACUUCUUUUAAGAGGGAAGAGUAGAAGACGGUACCUCUUGAAUAAGCCACGGCUAACUACGUGCCAGCAGCCGCGGUAAUACGUAGGUGGCAAGCGUUGUCCGGAUUUACUGGGUGUAAAGGGCGUGCAGCCGGGCUGACAAGUCAGAUGUGAAAUCCCGCGGCUUAACCGCGGAACUGCAUUUGAAACUGUCAGUCUUGAGUACCGGAGAGGUCGUCGGAAUUCCUUGUGUAGCGGUGAAAUGCGUAGAUAUAAGGAGGAACACCAGUGGCGAAGGCGGAUGGCUGGACAGCAACUGACGGUGAGGCGCGAAAGCGUGGGGAGCAAACAGGAUUAGAUACCCUUGUAGUC
rnacentral:rRNA from 1 species